GAUGAAGAACGUAGCGAAAUGCGAUACUUGGUGUGAAUUGCAGAAUCCCGUGAACCAUCGAGUCUUUGAACGCACGUUGCGCCCGAAGCCAUCAGGUUGAGGGCACGUCUGCCUGGGCGUCACAUAUCGUUGCCCAAUGCCUAUUGCAGUGCAAUAGGAAUUUCUAGGGCGAAUGAUGGCUUCCCGUGAGCGUUGUUGCCUCGCGGUUGGUUGAAAAUCGAGUCCUUGGUAGGGUGUGCCAUGGUAGAUGGUGGUCGAGUUAGAACGAUACCGAUCAUGUGCAUGCUCCCCAAAAUAUGGCCUCUAUGACCCACACGCGUCUUUUGACGCUCAUGACGAGACCUCAGGUCAGGCGGGGCUACCCGCUGAAUUUAAGCAUAUCAAUAAGCGGAGGA
rnacentral:misc_RNA from 1 species